UACGUAAGUGACAAGCGUUGUCCGGAUUUACUGGGCGUAAAGAGCGCGCAGGCGGUCGAUCAAGUCGAGUGUGAAAGCCCCCGGCUCAACUGGGGAGGGUCAUUCGAUACUGAUCGACUCGAAGGCAGGAGAGGGUAGUGGAAUUCCCGGUGUAGUGGUGAAAUGCGUAGAUAUCGGGAGGAACACCAGUGGCGAAGGCGACUACCUGGCCUGUUCUUGACGCUGAGGCGCGAAAGCUAGGGGAGCAAACGGG
rnacentral:rRNA from 1 species